GCUCAGGACGAACGCUGGCGGCGUGCCUAAUACAUGCAAGUAGAACGCUGAAGAGAGGAGCUUGCUCUUCUUGGAUGAGUUGCGAACGGGUGAGUAACGCGUAGGUAACCUGCCUUGUAGCGGGGGAUAACUAUUGGAAACGAUAGCUAAUACCGCAUAACAAUGGAUGACACAUGUCAUUUAUUUGAAAGGGGCAAUUGCUCCACUACAAGAUGGACCUGCGUUGUAUUAGCUAGUAGGUGAGGUAAUGGCUCACCUAGGCGACGAUACAUAGCCGACCUGAGAGGGUGAUCGGCCACACUGGGACUGAGACACGGCCCAGACUCCUACGGGAGGCAGCAGUAGGGAAUCUUCGGCAAUGGGGGCAACCCUGACCGAGCAACGCCGCGUGAGUGAAGAAGGUUUUCGGAUCGUAAAGCUCUGUUGUAAGUCAAGAACGGGUGUGAGAGUGGAAAGUUCACACUAUGACGGUAGCUUACCAGAAAGGGACGGCUAACUACGUGCCAGCAGCCGCGGUAAUACGUAGGUCCCGAGCGUUGUCCGGAUUUAUUGGGCGUAAAGCGAGCGCAGGCGGUUUGAUAAGUCUGCAGUUAAAGGCUGUGGCUCAACCAUAGUUCGCUUUGGAAACUGUCAAACUUGAGUGCAGAAGGGGAGAGUGGAAUUCCAUGUGUAGCGGUGAAAUGCGUAGAUAUAUGGAGGAACACCGGUGGCGAAAGCGGCUCUCUGGUCUGUAACUGACGCUGAGGCUCGAAAGCGUGGGGAGCGAACAGGAUUAGAUACCCUGGUAGUCCACGCCGUAAACGAUGAGUGCUAGGUGUUGGAUCCUUUCCGGGAUUCAGUGCCGCAGCUAACGCAUUAAGCACUCCGCCUGGGGAGUACGACCGCAAGGUUGAAACUCAAAGGAAUUGACGGGGGCCCGCACAAGCGGUGGAGCAUGUGGUUUAAUUCGAAGCAACGCGAAGAACCUUACCAGGUCUUGACAUCCCGAUGCUAUUUCUAGAGAUAGAAAGUUACUUCGGUACAUCGGUGACAGGUGGUGCAUGGUUGUCGUCAGCUCGUGUCGUGAGAUGUUGGGUUAAGUCCCGCAACGAGCGCAACCCCUAUUGUUAGUUGCCAUCAUUCAGUUGGGCACUCUAGCGAGACUGCCGGUAAUAAACCGGAGGAAGGUGGGGAUGACGUCAAAUCAUCAUGCCCCUUAUGACCUGGGCUACACACGUGCUACAAUGGUUGGUACAACGAGUUGCGAGUCGGUGACGGCGAGCUAAUCUCUUAAAGCCAAUCUCAGUUCGGAUUGUAGGCUGCAACUCGCCUACAUGAAGUCGGAAUCGCUAGUAAUCGCGGAUCAGCACGCCGCGGUGAAUACGUUCCCGGGCCUUGUACACACCGCCCGUCACACCACGAGAGUUUGUAACACCCGAAGUCGGUGAGGUAACCUUUUGGAGCCAGCCGCCUAAGGUGGGAC
rnacentral:rRNA from 1 species